rnacentral:tRNA from 1 species
UCCCUAUUGGUUCAAAUGGUAAAGAAUCUGCCUGCAAUGCAGGAGACUCAGGUUUGAUCCCUGGGUUGGGAA